CUGAGUUGUAUUCUUGUGGUGUUUGUCAAAAUUAGUUUUCUGUGCAUUUAUUGAUUUUUGUUCCUUUCCAUUGGUCUGUGAAUCUGAUUUUAUGCCAGUACCCAUACUGUUUUGAUUACUGUAGCUUUGUGAUAUAAUUUGAAAUCCAGAUGUGUGAUACUUCUACUUUUAUUCUUUUUUUUUGGUACUGGGUAUAGAACUUGUGCCCUUGGACUUGUGGGGCAGGAGGUGGCACCACUGAGCUAAAUCCCUGGCCCUCUACUUUUAUUCUUGCUUAAGAUUUUUUGGGCUUUUCGGAGUCUCUUAUGUUUCUGUAUGAAUUUUAGGAUUUUUUAAAUAAUUGUGUGACAAAUGCCAUUGGAAUCUUGAAAAGGAUGUCAUUAAAUUUGGCAUUUUGGGUACCUUGGACAUUUUCAAAUAUUAUUUCAAUCCAUGAAUAUGGGAUAAGUUUCCUUUUUUUUGGUACUGGGGAUUGAACUCGGGACUUUGCGCUUGUGAGGGGCAGGCAGUGGAAACACUGAGCUAAAUCCCUGGCCCCAACUUUCCAUUUACUUAUAACUUAUUUAAUUUUCUUAUUUAAUUUUCUAAAUCAAUGUUUUGUUUCAGUUUGUCAGUCUUUCUUCUCCUUAAUUAAAUGUAUUUCUAAGGAUUUUAUUGGUUUGUUGUUAUUGUCCACUUCUUUUUUCUUUUUUUUUCUCGGUACCAGGGAUCAGACUCAGGACCUUGCUCUUGCCAGGCAGGUACAACACCACUGAGCUAAAUCCCUGGCCCUUGUUUCUAUUGUCAAUGAAAUUAUUUUCUUAAUUUCUUUUUUUGGUACUGGGGAUUGAAUUUGGGACCUUGUUUUUUGUGAGGCAGGCACCGGAACCACUGAGCUAAAUCCCCAGCCCUCUUAAUUUCUUUUUCAAUGAACAACUGUUCAUUAUUGGUGUAUGGUAACACUUUUUAUUAGUGUAUAUUUAUGAUACAUAAUAGUUAACCCAUUUAUACUGAAGGUUGCAAUCUUUUGAAUUUUUCCAUGAAAUUAAUGUUAUGAAAAAUUCAAGGAAUAAGAAUAAAGAGUAAGAAUAAAAAUUCAAGGAAUAAGAAUUUGAAGAGAAAAAAUUGUAUUAUGUUCCAUUGUUUCAUGGAUGUUCCAAAAAUGGAACACUAGGCAUUGAAUCAUUAACAUUCAUUGGGGAAAUUGGUACAUAAGCAUACACUAUUAAUUUUUGUGUGCUGACUUUGUAUUCUGCUGCUUUCCUGAAUUCAUUUAUUAUGAUCAUUCUUUCAUGGGUCAUUAGGAUUUUCUAUAUUCAAGAUCAUGUCAUCUGCAAACAAUUUUACUUCUUUUCUAUUUUUAUGUAUUUUCUUUUUCUUGCUUAGUUACUAUGACUAGAACUUGCAGUAUUAUGAUUAACAGAAGGUACCUGGGCACCCUUGUUCCUGUUCUUGAAGGAAAAGCUUUGAGCUUUUCACUGUUUGUGUAUGAUGAUAACCAUUGGCUAGUCAUAUAUUGUCACUAUUAUGUUAAGGCAUGAUCAUUCUAUACCUAAUUUGUUGAAAGCUGAUAUGAAAAUAUGUUGAAUUUUGUUAAAAUUUUUUUCUGCAUUUUUUGUCAAUGAUUUUCCUUUCAUUUUGUUGUGUAAUGUGUAACAUUUAUUGAUUUUGCAUAUGUUGAAUCACCCUUGCAUUACAGCUAUAAAUUUCAGUUGAUAGUGAUGCGUGAUCCUUUUAAUAAUUGAUUCAAAUCUGAAUGGGCUAAAUUUGCCCAUCAAAAGACAUAGUGGCUGAUUGCAUUAGAAACAAGACACAUCUGUGUGUUGCCUACAAGGGACUCAGUUCAUCUUUAAGGACUCAAGUAGAUGGGAAGAGUAGGGAUGGGGAAAGAUAAGCUUUGCAAAUAGAAACCAAAAGAAAAUGGAGGUGGCUGUACUUGCAUCAGACGAAACAGACUUUAAGUCAAAAAUUAUAAUGAGAGAAAACGAGGUGAGGGUGAGGAAGUGGUCAUCUCAUCAAGAGGAUAGAACACCUACCUGGGUGCAGUGGGAUGUGCCUAUAAUUCCAGCUACUUGGAGGCUGAGGUGGGAGUAUCACAAGGUAGAACCCAGCUGUGGCAACAGUAUGAGAUCCUGUCUUUAAAAAAAAGUGUGUGGCCAGGGAUUUAGCUCAGUGGUUUCAACACCUGCUAUGCAAGCACAAGGACCGGAGUUCAAUCCCCAGUACCAAAAAAAAAAAGUGGUGUGUGUGUGUGUACAUAUAUGCAUUUUAUAUAUAUAUGUGUGUGUGUGUAACACACAUAUAUGUGGGGGAAGAUCACCAAAAAAAAUGUAUACACACUCCAGCAGUUCACCUUACUAAUAAAUGUCUAGAAGCUAAUGGUCACCACUUUGAGCACCUCGUAGAGGCCAAAGGGAACUUGUAUUAAUCUUAUGAUGUCUCAAUAAAUUUAGUAUUAAAAUAUUUAUAUAA
rnacentral:lncRNA from 1 species